GACGAACGCUGGCGGCGUGCCUAAUACAUGCCAGUAGAACGCUGAAGGAGGAGCUUGCUUCUCCGGAUGAGUUGCGAACGGGUGAGUAACGCGUAGGUAACCUGCCUGGUAGCGGGGGAUGACUAUUGGAAACGAUAGCUAAUACCGCAUAACAGUAGAUGUUGCAUGACAUUUGCUUAAAAGGUGCAAUUGCAUCACUACCAGAUGGACCUGCGUUGUAUUAGCUAGUUGGUGAGGUAACGGCUCACCAAGGCGACGAUACAUAGCCGACCUGAGAGGGUGAUCGGCCACACUGGGACUGAGACACGGCCCAGACUCCUACGGGAGGCAGCAGUAGGGAAUCUUCGGCAAUGGACGGAAGUCUGACCGAGCAACGCCGCGUGAGUGAAGAAGGUUUUCGGAUCGUAAAGCUCUGUUGUAAGAGAAGAACGAGUGUGAGAGUGGAAAGUUCACACUGUGACGGUAUCUUACCAGAAAGGGACGGCUAACUACGUG
rnacentral:rRNA from 1 species